rnacentral:rRNA from 2 species
UACGUAGGUGGCAAGCGUUACUCGGAAUCACUAGGCGUAAAGCGCAGGUAGGCGGUUUGAUAAGUCUCUUGUGAAAGCUCCCGGCUUAACUGGGAGAGGUCAAGGGAAACUGUCAGGCUAGAGUGUGGCAGAGGAAACUGGAAUUCCCGGUGUAGCGGUGAAAUGCGUAGAUAUCGGGAGGAAUACCUAUGGCGAAAGCAGGUUUCUGGGCCGUCACUGACGCUGAGCUGCGAAAGCUAGGGGAGCAAACAGG